rnacentral:rRNA from 1 species
GGCUCAGAUUGAACGCUGGCGGCAUGCCUUACACAUGCAAGUCGAACGGCAGCACGGAGCUUGCUCUGGUGGCGAGUGGCGAACGGGUGAGUAAUAUAUCGGAACGUACCCUAGAGUGGGGGAUAACGUAGCGAAAGUUACGCUAAUACCGCAUACGAUCUAAGGAUGAAAGUGGGGGAUCGCAAGACCUCAUGCUCGUGGAGCGGCCGAUAUCUGAUUAGCUAGUUGGUAGGGUAAAAGCCUACCAAGGCAUCGAUCAGUAGCUGGUCUGAGAGGACGACCAGCCACACUGGAACUGAGACACGGUCCAGACUCCUACGGGAGGCAGCAGUGGGGAAUUUUGGACAAUGGGCGAAAGCCUGAUCCAGCAAUGCCGCGUGAGUGAAGAAGGCCUUCGGGUUGUAAAGCUCUUUUGUCAGGGAAGAAACGGUGAGAGCUAAUAUCUCUUGCUAAUGACGGUACCUGAAGAAUAAGCACCGGCUAACUACGUGCCAGCAGCCGCGGUAAUACGUAGGGUGCAAGCGUUAAUCGGAAUUACUGGGCGUAAAGCGUGCGCAGGCGGUUUUGUAAGUCUGAUGUGAAAUCCCCGGGCUCAACCUGGGAAUUGCAUUGGAGACUGCAAGGCUAGAAUCUGGCAGAGGGGGGUAGAAUUCCACGUGUAGCAGUGAAAUGCGUAG